AAGCGAUUCCAUUUCACAAAUUCACAAUUCACAGUUCGCUCGACGUUGUUUUGUGGCUGUGCCAUCAGGCAUAGCGAUUGCGGUAUUUUUUUGUUUGACACUCAUUUAUUUUGGUAUAAUGUUUCGUGGGGAGUGAUAGGAAUCUAUGUUGAUAACAAUAUUCGUGGACAUUGUUUCAUGAAAUAUCUUUGAAACAGUAUGAACUAAGAACAAAGUUGCGUAAAGGAUUAGUGAUUUUUUUGACGUGUUUAUUUCCUUCGUGGGACUGCUAUCAUGGUGCAGGAAUAUGUCUCGCCCGUGAGGGUUCAUAAAUAUCCUUUCGAAAUGGUGAUGGCGGCGUACGAGCGCCGCUUCCCCAGCUGCCCGCAGAUCCCGGUGGUGCUCGAGUGCGUGAUCACGGACGACAGCUGGACAGCAGACGACUCCCAGCGACAGACGACGAGGCGCUGCCAGUUGAACGUGGAAGCGCCGUAUUUGUUGAAGAAGAUGAUCGGCGUGGACUACGUGUACUUCAUCCAGAAGAACCAGCUGGACCUGCAGGCGCGAGUGCUGGAGAUCGAGGCGACGAACGAGACCUUCGCGGCCAGGGUGUCCGUGGUGGAGAAGUGUAAAUAUUAUGUGCACCCUGAGAACGCGCAGUGGACAUGCUUCGAGCAGAGCGCGCUGCUCGACGUCAAGAACUUCUUCGGGCUCGAGAGCACGGUCGAGAAGAUCGCUAUGAAGCAGUACGCCGCUAAUAUUGCUAAAGGCAAGGAGCUGAUCGAGGUGUUCAUGCGCGAGGUGCACGCGGACGGCGUGCGCGAGCUGCCCGUGUGGAGCGCGGGCGCGGCGGCGCGCAACCGCGAGCUGCGGCGUGCGGUGUCGCGCGGCGCCGAGCCGCUGUCGCCGCGCCGCUCCGUGCCGGACCAAUACACUCUGGACAGUGAGUACAUCAAGAGGUACUUGGGAGAGCUCACGCCGAUCCAGGAGUCACGGCUCUUGCAGCUGAGGAAGUGGAUCGCAGAUCUACAGAAAGGAAAGGUGCCAAGUGACACAACUCUCCUCCGAUUCCUUCGAGCGAGGGACUUUAACGUAGAGAAAGCGCGGGAGAUGCUCUCGCAGUCGCUCCUCUGGCGCAAGAAGCACCAGGUGGACAGGAUCCUGUCGGAGUAUGAGACCCCGGAUGUGGUGAAGCAGUACUUCCCGGGGGGCUGGCAUCAUCAUGAUAAAGACGGACGUCCCCUGUACAUUCUUCGUCUUGGCCAGAUGGACGUUAAAGGACUGCUCAAAUCUAUUGGCGAAGAUGGCCUACUUAAGUUGACUCUUCACGUGUGUGAAGAGGGUCUAAAACUGCUGGAAGAAGCGACCCGUUCAUCAGAACACGCGGUCCACUCCUGGUGUCUGCUGGUAGACCUGGACGGUCUGAACAUGCGGCACCUUUGGAGGCCCGGGGUCAGGGCUCUGCUGAGGAUCAUACAGAUUGUGGAGGCCAAUUACCCGGAGACGAUGGGCAGGGUGCUGAUAGUUAGGGCUCCCAGGGUGUUCCCGAUAUUGUGGACGAUUGUUAGCACUUUUAUUGAUGAGAAUACCCGCAGUAAGUUCUUAUUCUACGGCGGCAAGGACUACUUGCAGCCGGGUGGGUUGCUAGACUACAUACCUAAAGAUCUCAUCCCGGAUUUCCUCGGGGGACCUAGCAAGAGUUUCGUGCACGAAGGCGGUCUAGUGCCAAAGAGUUUGUACGUGAGCGGCGCGUUCACUGAGCGUGAUGGCGAUCCGCUCAGCGAAGAUAGUAUUUAUCGAUCGGUCAGCUUGGGGAAGGGACAGGUCCACGAAGUGAUAGUAAUAAACCGCGAUCCCCAAAGUGUUCUGACGUGGGACUUUGACGUGCUGCGACACGACAUAUCGUUCGCCGUGUUCCGCACGCAGCACGAGAUCGACGCGCCCGACCAGACUGACCAUGCUGCCGCGGUAUGCGUAGGCGGUUCAGCAGUUGAAGAAGGUCGCUCAGUGCUAGCUGCGCGUGAGUGGCGUGAAGGAGAACAUUACCAUCGUGCGGAACCCACACUCGUGUGCCAUGAUGGGGAGAGCAUACAGGGCUCGCACGUGAUGUCGCACACGGGCAGCUACAUCCUGCAGUGGCGGUGCGAAGCCCCGGACGCCCCGCACCGCGCUGCACAGUUGAUGUAUUUUCACGAAACUCUCGCUAGCUUGACUUAUAAGCCACUCACAAAUUAGCAGUAAGAUUAGUUAAGAUGGUAACAAUAUCUAAGCGGGUGGCGUCGAAGGUUCCGAUAUAGAAUAAAAUCAAAUGCUGAGGGGCUCCAUGUCAAGCCUGCAGUCAGGGACGAGCGGUUUCUCCUGCCUCAGCAACAAGUCUGUCGGCUCGUGCCCGUCGCGGUGAUGCGAACUGCCCGCGCCCGCCACGCGUUGAAUGCGAAGCGAAGCGAAGGCGUGGCGAACGCGAAGCGUUGCGAAGCGAAGGCGUUGAUAUAUUUGUGAAGAGGGAAGAGUGGUUUAGUGGUGGGGUGGAAGGGAAGCGGGAUGUUAGAUUGUGACGGAAAAAAUAUUGUAAAGUGAUCAAAUAU